AAUGGUCACAACAGUGCAAUACUGGAAGAGAUGCAGGAACAAGAAAACUAUCUGAGUGGCCAGCCGGGGGCAGGGAGAAGGACACGGAGCAAGAGCAGGGGAUAAUCCUACAGAGAGGAAAAAAGUACACACUGCUCAAAGUUCAGCAAGACAGUGACAGCUUUAAAUACACAAUCACCCUAAUGAAGUG